AAGUCGUAACAAGGUCUCCGUAGGUGAACCUGCGGAGGGAUCAUUAACACUAUUUGAUUCUUAGGGAGCAAUCCUAGGUUUCAAAUUAAAACCAACCACACCACGUGAACUCGGUUCUGCUUGCAGAGCCAAUCUCUCCCUUUGAAAUUGAAAGACUUGGAUCCGAUGUGUAGUGGGGGUAUUGCACCCCAUCUGUCCAAGUUAGCAUAGCCCUCACGGGGGAUUAUGAACUUUCACUUUCUUAGGCAAUUCUUGAAAUGUAGCCGCUACAGCAUUGCCCUCUCUCUAACUAUUAUUGUCUAACCACAAUUUUCACCCCUUCGUACUCCAAUUGACUGAUUAUGUUGAGCUAAACCGAAAGGUUUAAUUCUUCACAAGAUUUUCUAAUCUAAGCACAACUCUUAGCAACGGAUAUCUUGGUUCUC
rnacentral:misc_RNA from 1 species